GGAAGGUCCGGGCGUUAUCCGGAUUUAUUGGGUUUAAAGGGAGCGUAGGCCGGAGAUUAAGCGUGUUGUGAAAUGUAGACGCUCAACGUCUGCACUGCAGCGCGAACUGGUUUCCUUGAGUACGCACAAAGUGGGCGGAAUUCGUGGUGUAGCGGUGAAAUGCUCAGAUAUCAUGAAGAACUCCGAUCGCGAAGGCAGGUGUCCGGGGUGCAACUGACGCUGAGGCUCGAAAGUGCGGGUAUC
rnacentral:rRNA from 1 species